rnacentral:rRNA from 1 species
UACGUAGGCAGCAAGCGUUGUUCGGAGUUACUGGGCGUAAAGGGUGUGUAGGCGGUUCUUUAAGUUUGGUGUGAAAUCUCCCGGCUCAACUGGGAGGUGCGCCGAAUACUGAGGGACUAGAGUACGGGAGAGGAAAGUGGAAUUCCUGGUGUAGCGGUGAAAUGCGUAGAUAUCAGGAGGAACACCGGUGGUGUAGACGGCUUUCUGGACCGUAACUGACGCUGAGACGCGAAAGCGUGGGGAGCAAACAGG